rnacentral:rRNA from 1 species
UCUGCUCGCCACCUCGCUGACCCGUCCCCGGCCACCGGUGCCCUCGCCGGAGGCCACCAGCGCCAUCGCAGUCCCGCUGCCGCCUGCUUCCUCUUGUCAGAAACGACCGAGCGCUCGCCCGCGUGCGUUGACCGUGCCCGCGUGUACCAGGCCUCGACGCCCCAGCGCCAGCGCCUGGGCCACCUCUGCUUCGGCCCAGCGGCUCCCCUCCGCCAGCGCAGCCCAGUCCACCACGGCCUACCACUCCAGCGCCUGGGCCAGCGGCCUCCAAGGCCCAGC